UAUGAAAGGAGAUGUCCUGGGAUACAGCUUGUUCAUUUUCAUGAAACUGUGGAAAGAAUAUAAUCUUUGCUGGAACCUGAACUGAGAUUCAAAAUCCUGCCACUUUACUAACAAUGUGACUUCAGGAAAUUUAUUUAAUCCGAGCUAAUUUAGGACCUUCUCAUUGCUCUGACCUGGGCCAGCUACUGAAAUGAAAAGCAAAUGGACCAAGGGUGUGGACACAGUAGAUAUGAGAAGUAACAGAAUUUAUCAGCAUGAUUGUCAUAAUACGAGCAAAUGAUCACAACAUUAAAACUAAGUUGUAUGUGUCAUGUCUUUCUACUCCAUUUUAAAUCUCAUUUUGUGUAUGACUGCAUGGGAGGUAAAGUGGGGACGUGUCGUAAGUUCUAUUUUAGUUGUUAUAUACCAUGAUUAUCAAAUGCUCCUAUAAUGUGCUUAUUGAAUAAAUGGUCCAAGAUUGUUGGGCUAGCUAAUUUGCAAUUUGAAAAAAAAUGAUUAAAGGUGACAAAAGUGCAGUUUACAAAUAAUUCCCUUUUUAGAGGACACAGGAAAAGGAAUUCUUUUCUUUCUUUCCCUUCUCUCUUUUUCUUUCUUUUUUAUUUUUGUUAACAGCUUUUGUUUAAGUCAAAAUCAUCUUUUUGACUUCCCAUAAAGUGUCUGGUUUCAGAAAAAGUAUGCAAAGAAUAUUUCUCUAGAAUGUGAUGCCUAAACUUUUCCUGAAAGAAAACAACAAAACACACCAAAAACUAAACUGAAGCAAAUUAUCCACUUGCUAUUGUUGAGGACAUCUUUCAGAUUCGGUGCAGUCCCACC
rnacentral:lncRNA from 10 species